GCGGACGUAGCCGAAUUUGGUAUAGGCGCCAGACUUAGGAUCUGGUGUGCGAAAGCACAUGUGGGUUCGAGUCCCACCGUCCGCA
rnacentral:tRNA from 1 species